GUCCAGGGAUGAGAAACAAACCCACAAUGUUCCGCUUACCGGGCAGAUUCCAUGUCCACUAGGCUACCCUGGA
rnacentral:tRNA from 1 species